ACUAUAUUACAUGGAUUAUUGUGAGUGGGUAGACUAUAUACAUGGAUUAUGUGAUGGUGUAGUAGCUAUAUUACAUGGAUUUAUUGUGAUGUGUAGGUAGACUAUAUUACAUGGAUUUAUUGUGAUGGUGUAGGCUAUAUAUUACAUGGAUUUAUUGUGAUGGUGUAGACUAUAUUACCUGGAUUAUUGUGGUGUAGUAGACUAUAUACAUGAUUUAUUUGUGGAUGGUGUAGGUAGAACUAUAUUACAUGGAUUUAUUGUGAUGGUAGUAGACUUAUUAACAUGGAUUAUUGUGAUGGUGUGUUAGACUAUAUUACAUGGAUUUAUUGUGAGGUGUAGGUAGACUAUAUUACAUGGAUUUAUUGUGAUGGUGUGAACUAUAUUACAUGUUUAUUGUGAUGGUGUCGACUUAUUAUGGAUUUUUGUGAUGGUGUGUUAACUUACAUGGAUUUAUUGUGAUGGUGUAGGU
rnacentral:lncRNA from 1 species